rnacentral:lncRNA from 1 species
CAGCCUCUUGUCUGGCACCGGAGCAGAAUUGUCAGGGAGCGUGAGUAAGCAGCCGAUCUUACUUAGGAAAACUGACUUCUACUGAGACCAAAUUGCUGCCAACGGAAUCACUGUGUGUUCGAAGUAUGAGAAUCUCCCAGGUGGGACUCAGGAUGGCAACACAGGCAUCUAGAAGCAAUUUAAGAGGUGAUUAAAGCCCCAGGACAUGGCG